ensembl:lncRNA
GUUUUGUUUUCUUUCUUUUCAUUUCCCCCUCCCUUUCCCCUUUCCCCGCUCUGCCCAGCGGGAUGCAGCCAAUGGCCCCAAUGGACAGACAACGGAUGGACAACGGGACGCGGCCGCUUGGUUCCAUGAGCAACACGAGUUUUGGAAGAGCGUGCCCUCCACGCCGCGGUGUUUUGCAUUAAAAGGUCCGGGGUACGGAUAGUGUUGCAGCAGCAUCUUCAAAGUCUCAUGGCUUUCAAACACAGCCGUGCACACAUGAGCCCCUCCCUCGCGGCCGUCCCUGUCUCGCAUUACGCUGGCAUUUUCUUUGGGGAUGAACAGGGGAGAGACUCCGGCGUAGUUUAUUUUCCUUCCGAGCAGGGAGGAGAGAACGCGCAAAAUGCUCCUAAUGGAGCAAAGCGAGCAAGAGGAGCCCAAAGGCGCGGGUGUGCGGCCUCAUGGGGACACUGCUGGGGGUUGGGAUUCUCCUUGCUAUGAGGGGCCCAAAGCCUUUGAGGGCCGAAGGUGCGGACGGCGGAGGAGAAAGGAGGAGAAAGAAGAAGGAGGAGGAGGAGGAGGAGGAGGAGGAUGAGGCCGAGGAGAGCGGCGUGACCGAGCGGCGG